rnacentral:rRNA from 1 species
UACGGAGGGUGCGAGCGUUGUCCGGAAUCACUGGGCGUAAAGGGCGCGUAGGCGGCUCGACACGUCCGUUGUGAAAUCGCCCGGCUCAACUGGGCGGGGUCAGCGGAUACGGUCGAGCUUGAGCAAGCUAGGGGGCAAUGGAAUUCCCGGUGUAGUGGUGGAAUGCGCAGAUAUCAGGAGGAACACCGAUGGCGAAGGCAGCUCGCUGGGACGGUACUGACGCU